AUUGAACGCUGGCGGCAGGCCUAACACAUGCAAGUCGAACGCGUGGCGGACGGGUGAGUAAUGUCUGGGAAACUGCCUGAUGGAGGGGGAUAACUACUGGAAACGGUAGCCAAUACCGCAUACCAUCAGCUGUGCCCAGAUGGGAUUAGCUAGUUGGUGGGGUAAAGGCCUACCAGGGCGACGAUCCGUAACUGGUCUGCGAGGGUGAUCAGUCACACUGGAACUAGGACACGGUCCAGACUCCUACGGGAGGCAGCAGUGGGGAAUAUUGGACAAUGGGCGAAAGCCUGAUCCAGCCAUGCCGCGUGUGUGAAGAAGAUCUUCGGAUUGAAAAACACUUUAAGUGGGGAGACGUUACCAACAGAAUAAGCACCGGCUAACUACGUGCCAGCAGCCGCGGUAAUUC
rnacentral:rRNA from 1 species